rnacentral:rRNA from 1 species
AUGAGCAGACACAAUCCCAUGCCUGUGCCUGUGCCGGUGCCCGAGCCAACACUGAUGCUAGGGUAUGAGCCAACGUUGAUGCUGGGUUAUGCACCGCAGUUCGGGAGCUGCCCUCCGGUCCAGUUAGGUUGGGACCUGUCCAAGAUGGUUGGCGUGCUCCAAUCCGUAUGUGUGUGGUGCAACACAAGGUUCCAGCAUUUUGGCACCGCCGAGCAGCAGAACGAUUCUGUUGGCUUCAUUUGCCCCGCGUGCAAGGACAAGACAUCCGGUCAUCUUGGCACACUCAACAAUGGUUCAUUGCUUUAG